rnacentral:rRNA from 1 species
CCUACGUGAGGCAGCAGUAGGGAAUCUUCCACAAUGGGCGAAAGCCUGAUGGAGCAACGCCGCGUGGGUGAAGAAGGUCUUCGGAUCGUAAAACCCUGUUGUUAGAGAAGAAAGUGCGUGAGAGUAACUGUUCCCGUUUCGACGGUAUCUAACCAGAAAGCCCCGGCUAACUACGUGCAAGCAGCAGCGGUAAUACGAAGGUGGCAAGCGUUAUCCGGAUUUAGUGGGCGUAAAGGGACCGCAGGCGGUAUGUUAAGUCUGAUGUGAACGCCUUCGGCUUAACCGGAGUAGUGCAUUGGAAACUGGGAGACUGGAGUGCAGAAGAGGAGAGUGGAACUCCAUGUGUAGCGGUGAAAUGCGUAGAUAUAUGGAAGAACACCAGUGGCGAAAGCGGCUCUCUGGUCUGUAACUGACGCUGAGGUUCGAAAGCGUGGGUAGCAAACAGGAUUAGAUACCCCAGUAGUC